rnacentral:misc_RNA from 1 species
GUGAAUCAUCGAAUCUUUGAACGCACAUUGCGCCCGCCAGUAUUCUGGCGGGCAUGCCUGUUCGAGCGUCAUUUCAACCAUCAAGCCCCCGGCUUGUGUUGGGGACCUGCGGCUGCCGCAGGCCCUGAAAACCAGUGGCGGGCUCGCUAGUCACUCCGAGCGUAGUAGUUACAUCUCGCUCAGGGCGUGCUGCGGGUUCCGGCCGUUAAAAGCCUUAUUUUACCCAAGGUUGACCUCGGAUCAGGUAGGAAGACCCGCUGAACUUAAGCAUAUCAAUAAGCGGAGGA